GAUCAUGGCUCAGGAUGAACGCUAGCGGCAGGCUUAACACAUGCAAGUCGAGGGGCAGCGCGGAGUAGCAAUACUCUGGCGGCGACCGGCGGAAGGGUGCGUAACACGUGAGCGACUUGCCCGUCACAGGGAGAUAACCGCUGGAAACGGCGACUAAUAUCCCAUAUGAUGACGAUCUGCAUGGAUUGUCAUUGAAAGAUUCAUCGGUNACGGAUAGG
rnacentral:rRNA from 1 species